GAUGAAGAACGUAGCGAAAUGCGAUAAGUAGUGUGAAUUGCAGAAUUCAGUGAAUCAUCGAAUCUUUGAACGCACAUUGCGCCCCUUGGUAUUCCAUGGGGCAUGCCUGUUCGAGCGUCAUUUGUACCUUCAAGCUUUGCUUGGUGUUGGGUGUUUGUCUCGCCUUUGCGUGUAGACUCGCCUUAAAAUAAUUGGCAGCCGGCGUAUUGAUUUCGGAGCGCAGUACAUCUCGCGCUUUGCACUCAUAACGACAGCGUCCAAAAGUACAUUUUACACUCUUGACCUCGGAUCAGGUAGGGAUACCCGCUGAACUUAAGCAUAUCAAUAAUCGGAGGA
rnacentral:misc_RNA from 1 species